GUAAACAUAGUUUAAGAAAAACAAUAGAUUGUGAAUCUAUUAAUAGAAGAACUAAGCCUUCUUGCUUACC
rnacentral:tRNA from 1 species